CCAACUGGUCGACUAUGUAUAAAAUUGUGUCUGGUCUGCAAAAGAGUUGCUUGUCGUGUGAAUUUCCUUGAUCGCCACGAUCAAAUGCGUACGGUCUGAUAUAUUUUCUUGAACCCCAUCGGUGGGAAUUGAUCGACAGUGCGUACAGGUUCUAAAGGCAUUAAAAUUUAACGGAGAGUUUGUGGGAGAACGAGAGAAUAUUUGACUAUUAUCAGAUAAGACAGAAAUUUCAACUUUUGCACGAGCUGAGAGAAGCGAAGGCGAGGGCGAGGCUAACGAGAAUGCGACUGACAACCCAAGAGUCGAAGAUAAUGAAGAGAGAGAAAGGAGGACAAGUGUUGGAAGCAAUAAUGUCGAAGAAGGAGACUCGAGAGAAAGCAUCGCGGAUAAAGGAACCAACCGAGAAGAGGAGAAGCUUAAAAGUAGCGCCACUGGAAAGGAACAAAAAGUUCUGUUCGGCGAGCGUCCAACGUCAGAUAGCAGUCUCGAGGAUGGAAGAAAGGAUGAGAAAGAAGGUCACGAUAGCGAUGAUAAUGAGAACUGUAUAAGAAUCGAAAGAUUAUGGCUAAGGCGGCUUAUUUAUAAUUUGUGCGUUCAUUUCGUCGCAUAUAUAGCCUGCAUCCUGAUUGUGACUCUGACUCUUGUGAUUGGAUAUUUUCUAAACGCAUCGAUAUAAGCGAUUACGACAAGUAGCUAUAGUAGUUGAACAG